rnacentral:rRNA from 1 species
UACGUAGGGGGCGAGCGUUGUCCGGAUUUAUUGGGCGUAAAGAGCUCGUAGGCGGCUCACUCAGUCAGGUGUGAAACCUCCAGGCUCAACCUGGAGACGCCACCUGAUACUGGUGUGGCUAGAGUCCGGUAGGGGAGCGUGGAAUUCCUGGUGUAGCGGUGAAAUGCGCAGAUAUCAGGAGGAACACCGGUGGCGAAGGCGGCGCUCUGGGCCGGUACUGACGCUGAGGAGCGAAAGCGUGGGGAGCAAACAGG